rnacentral:rRNA from 1 species
UACGAAGGGGGCUAGCGUUGCUCGGAAUCACUGGGCGUAAAGGGUGCGUAGGCGGCCUAUUAAGUCAGGGGUGAAAGACGGUAGCUUAACUAUCGCAGUGCCUUUGAUACUGAUGGGCUUGAAUGUACUUGAGGUAGGCGGAAUGUGGCAAGUAGCGGUGAAAUGCAUAGAUAUGCCACAGAACACCAAUUGCGAAGGCAGCUUACUAAAGUAUGAUUGACGCUGAGGCACGAAAGCGUGGGGAUCAAACAGG